rnacentral:lncRNA from 1 species
AUUUUGUCUUAUUUUUUCUUACAGAUUAGAUUGUCAUACAGUGAAAACAUGGUAGACUUGGAGCUGAAAAAAUUUGAAUGCUAAUCCCAUCUCUAUGUGUCAUACCAGGCCUCCUAUUACAUAGGUGUGUUUCUUUGGAGACAAGCAACAUUCUUUACAGCCACACACCCAUCCUUAGUGAGAAAGAAUUGCCCAACCUGUAUGUUAAGAAGAUUUUCAUCACUGUGACCAAAACACCUGACAAGAACAACUCAGAGGAGGAAUGAUUUAUUUUGGUUUGUGACUUCAGAGGAUUCAUUCCAUUGAAAACUGGCUCAAAGACAGAAACAUUGUGGCAAAAGGGUGUGGCAGAGGAAAGCAGCUUAGUUCAAGGAAGUUGGCAAGCAGAGAGACAGAAAGGGCCCAGGGACAGAUAUAAUCCCCAAGACCAUGCCCCCAGUGCUAUACUCCUUCCCAGUCUGUCCUGCCUGUGCGCAGUUACCACACAGUUACCAUCUAUCAAAUGGAUUAAUCAAGUGAUGAGGUUAUAGCUGUCACCACACAAUCAUUACAUCUCUGAAAAUUGCUGCAUUGACUGACACAUGAGCUUUUGCUGGGACAGUCCAGACCAACAGUAUAAC